CCUGGAAGUGAAGACGUCAGUGUUGUGUUUACAUGUGUGGAUGUGAGCGUCUGUAAGCGCAGCUUUCUAUUUCAUUUAGGUGAUAUUAAGUUUAUAUCUGUAUUUAUUUACUGCUACACUAUAUUGUUGAGAUGAUUUCUUAUAGAAGGAAUAGUACAGACAAAUGAUAUAAUUUGUCAUCGUCGAUAUCAGAAUACUGGAUAGCCUACUCGUGGUGGAGAGGCAUAUUAGAGCUCAGUGAGAGCCCAUAACAUUAUACAGCAGUGUCGUCUUGAUUUAAUUGGGAGUUGAGCAACUUUUCCAUAAACAAAAUUCUGAUGCUGACACAGAGGAUGGAGUGAUAAUACCAGAGAUCAACUGUCUCCAUCAGACAAUAAUGUUACUUUGUUCAGACAUAUCAGCUUUGAAUGACUGGGAUCCUGAUCUUCAGACACCUGAUGUAUUUUAUUUUAAUAUUAUAAAAUAGCAAAUAUUUUAAUUUCUUUGGAGCUCUAGAUUAAAACAAACACAGUUUACAAGUACACAAGAGGUUGCAGUUUAUUCUUAUUAGUCUAUGCUGAUCAUGGAUUAGCAUACCAACAGCAUAUGAAUGGGAUAGUUCACCCAAAAAUAAAAUUCUCACUUAUUUUACUCACCCUCAUGCUGUCCCAGAUGCAUUUUACUUUCUUUCUACAGAUAAAUACGAAUUAAGAUUUUAAGGAAAGUAAUCCAUCUCUGCGAGUCCUAAAGAUGCUUUAAAAACCACACACAGUGACCGUGAUGUCCAUGCGACCUCAGUGGAUGAAUCAAUGCCUUCUGAAGUGAAACAAUAGGAUAAGAAAAA